GCCAUGCUAGUAGGACAAAAGUGCUACCUGACAGCACUUCACUGAGGAAACCUACAGACCAAUAAUACUCACCUCUGUAUGGAGAAAAAGAUGGCGCUUAGCACGGUUAAUGACUAAUGCUAAUGCUGUUCCAGCAGUGCUAGCCAGGGUUAGCUGCGGGCUACAGGUUGAUAAUACUCACCUGUGAACAGUCAAAAAGCUAGCACUUAGCAUGGUUAGCGGCUAAUGCUAAUACUGCUAGAGAACUAAACUGAAUAACGCUGUACUUCAGCAGAGUGGCUUUACUGCUCCUUACAACCUGACUGGUAAAAUUCGUACGUAAAAGCGCACCAGAUUAAAAGGCGCACCGACGAUUUUUGAAAAGUUUAAAGGAUUUUAAAUGCACAUUAUAGUGUAAAAAAUAAUUCCACUCGUGAACAGUGGUGCUGAAUUUUAUAUGCCACUGUUCUCAUGGGAUCUGACAAAGAAGGUAGAAAGUAAUGGCAAAUUUAACAGCAACUGCAUAAGAGACAAUAUGACAUAGUUUCUAUCCUAUUGUAUCAGUGAAUGGAUUAAAUGUUGGAGCAUCACAGAUGACGUCUGUCACCUUUAAUCUCUGGGUCAUUGUUCUGUCUGUGCUUUGAGGUAAUGAAUAGGAUUGAUUAAUGAUAAUGAUACAGAUUGAUUAGCACACAACAACACACAACUUUUUGUUCCUAUUAGGAAAGGAAAAAAAUCAUGGUUGUACUUUUUAAAAUUAAAUUAAUGAAAUUAAUAUUUAAGAAAGCAUUUCAAUGUCUAAUUGACACUGCAGUCAGCUCACAACAAUCAUCGCAGUGUGGAAUUUUACAUUAAAUGACAUUUCAUUUAAAUAAACAGAUAAACCACAUGCUGGGAUUGUUGCGUGCAAGCUUUAGCACCCAAUGUAAGUACCUGUAAGCUGAACGCCAGAAGUCUAAAUAGACCCUGCCAUGUGAUGCCUUAUGCAAUUAAGCUUGCCUUUAGACACAACAGUCAUCACAGUGUACUUCAGACAGGUCUCAGACAGGUGUAGCGUAAAAUCAACCAGCUAAAGAACAGUGAUCUCUUCUUGAGUUUCUUUGUUUUAACCAGAAAAGUUGGACAACAACUCCAUCGUACAGGGUUACGGACUGCCAGAUUGACAACUGAAAGGCCAGAGGCUAGCAGCACAUUUGACGAUCUCCAUGGAAGCUCUGUCACGUCUCUUCCCCUACACAAAGACUGUAGCGGGAUUCAAGACAGCGUUCGCUCAUGUAUUCCGCUUCAAAGACCCGACAGCGGACGCCAGGCGAACCGCUCGUACUCGCAUCCCCUCCAUGAGGAGCCACCGUGAGCUCCACCCACUGCGCAGCCACCUCCGCUCACCACUGACAGUGGAGGCCUUGAAGAGGAGCGGGAAGGCCUUCACUCCCAUUACCUCUAAACUGGCAGGAUUAUCCGUGCCCAUAUCAUCACAAAAAGGCAACUACGACUUUUAUCUCUCAAAAUUGUCUAGGAAAUAUGAUGGGCAGUCUGAGGUGUAUGUAUGAAAGAAGCCAUAACCAUUGCAUUAAUUUACCAGAUGACUACUUACACACUACUGUCUGUGCCCUUUUUGACAGAUAUAUUCCACAAUAAGCUAUGUACUGUUUCUGCUAAGGCCUACUGCUGAGAAAUACUAUGGGAUCUCACACCACUAGAUGUCAGUAAUGAUUUAAGAAAGUGCAUACAUUUAGAGUUGUGUACACCUGUAAAAAGAAUUAUAACUGUAGCUAUUUGUAACAUCUUUUUCAUCCUAAAGUAAGUGUUGUGUUUGUAAAUAGUCAAAUAAAAGUUGAAAUCAUA